rnacentral:rRNA from 1 species
GCACGUANCUUGCUCUGGUGGCGAGUGGCGAACGGGUGAGUAAUAUAUCGGAACGUACCCUGGAGUGGGGGAUAACGUAGCGAAAGUUACGCUAAUACCGCAUACGAUCUAAGGAUGAAAGUGGGGGAUCGCAAGACCUCAUGCUCGUGGAGCGGCCUAUAUCUGAUUAGCUAGUUUGUAGGGUAAAAGCCUACCAAGGCAUCGAUCAGUAGCUGGUCUGAGAGGACGACCAGCCACACUGGAACUGAGACACGGUCCAGACUCCUACGGGAGGCAGCAGUGGGGAAUUUUGGACAAUGGGCGCAAGCCUGAUCCAGCAAUGCCGCGUGAGUGAAGAAGGCCUUCGGGUUGUAAAGCUCUUUUGUCAGGGAAGAAACGGUGGGAGCUAAUAUCUCCUGCUAAUGACGGUACCUGAAGAAUAAGCACCGGCUAACUACGUGCCAGCAGCCGCGGUAAUACGUAGGGUGCAAGCGUUAAUCGGAAUUACUGGGCGUAAAGCGUGCGCAGGCGGUUUUGUAAGUCUGAUGUGAAAUCCCCGGGCUCAACCUGGGAAUUGCAUUGGAGACUGCAAGGCUAGAAUCUGGCAGAGGGGGGUAGAAUUCCACGUGUAGCAGUGAAAUGCGUAGAUAUGUGGAGGAACACCGAUGGCGAAGGCAGCCCCCUGGGUCAAGAUUGACGCUCAUGCACGAAAGCGUGGGGAGCAAACAGGAUUAGAUACCCUGGUAGUCCACGCCCUAAACGAUGUCUACUAGUUGUCGGGUCUUAAUUGACUUGGUAACGCANCUAACGCGUGAAGUAGACCGCCUGGGGAGUACGGUCGCAAGA